AUUGGCUUACUCUAUAAAUUCUAUAGCAAAAACAAGCCAAGAUUCGAAUCACUUCAGGUUUGAUCUAUUUUUUCAGUACUCUCUUCGCCUAUUUCAGAGUCUUUGAUUUAUGGCUCAAACAACUCCAAACCACACCCAGACUGUUUCUGGGUGGGCAGCUCACGAUUCCUCUGGCAAGAUCACCCCUUACGUUUUCAAAAGAAGAGAGAACGGUGUCAACGAUGUGACCAUAAAGAUCUUGUAUUGUGGGAUAUGCCACACAGAUCUCCACCAUGCGAGGAACGAUUGGGGCAUUACCAUGUAUCCUGUGGUUCCAGGGCAUGAAAUUACAGGCGUAAUCACCAAGGUGGGGAGCAAUGUAAAGAACUUCAAGGUGGGAGACAGGGUUGGAGUUGGGUGCUUGGCAGCUUCCUGCUUGGAGUGCGAGUUCUGCAAGAGCUCCCAAGAGAAUUACUGUGAUCAGAUACAGCUUACUUACAAUGGCAUUUUCUGGGAUGGAAGCAUCACCUACGGUGGCUACUCCGAAAUGUUGGUUGCAGAUCAUAGGUACGUGGUGCAAAUACCGGAAAACCUGCCAAUGGAUGCAGCAGCGCCUUUGCUUUGUGCGGGAAUCACUGUAUUCAGCCCCAUGAAAGACAACGAGCUGCUAAAGUCGCCAGGGAAAAGGAUAGGGAUAGUCGGUUUAGGGGGUCUUGGACAUGUAGCUGUGAAGUUUGGCAAAGCAUUUGAUCACCAUGUAACUGUGAUUAGUACCUCCCCAUCUAAAGAAAGGGAGGCCAAAGAACGCUUGGGGGCAGAUGAUUUCAUAGUCAGCACAAAUCCUAAACAAAUGAAGGUCUGAUUUAUAUAUAUAAUUCAUUUUGAAAACCACCUGAAUUCAAGCAUAUUUUAUCCAAUGUUAUAAUUAUUUCUUUUGGGUGUGACAGGCAGGGAAGAGAACUCUGGAUCUUAUCAUUGAUACAGUGUCAGCUAAUCACUCUCUUGGGCCAAUCUUGGAAUUGCUCAAGGUGAAUGGGACAUUGGUGGCAGUGGGUGCCCCAGAAAAGCCUUUUGAGCUGCCUUCUUUCCCUCUGAUAUUUGGUAAAAUACCUAUUUCUCUCACACUUCUCAAAGCUUGGAUGAUAAUUAAACAGCAAAAUAUAACAGGUACAUGUAUAAAUUUGAGUAAAUGUUGUUGCAGGCAAGAGAACAGUGAAGGGAAGCAUGACAGGGGGAAUGAAAGAAACGCAAGAAAUGAUGGAUGUGUGUGGAAAGUAUAAUAUCACUUGCGACAUUGAGGUUGUGAAACCAGAGAACAUCAAUGAAGCCCUUGAACGACUCGCAAGAAACGAUGUUAGAUAUCGUUUUGUAAUCGACAUUGCUGGAAACUCUUCACUUUAAUUUUGCCAAGCAGUGUCUGUAGUUUCUCAUCUACUUUCUACUUCUUUUGUUGCUUAAAAAAUUUGUGGGCAUAUAAUUCAUAUACGUAAAAUAAUUUUGUGCUAAUCAUUAUAGUGAGUCUUACAUGGGUCUCAUAUAAUCAAUUAUUAUAAUUAAAUCAUUGAAUAUAUGAUAGUUGCACUUGUUAAAAAAAUUGUGCUUGUAUAAUGUGUUAUGUAAGCUGCAAUAAAAUGUAAAAUAAAAUGAAAUAUUGAUUAUGUAACACCUUAAAUUUUUAAAUAAUUAUUUAUAUUUAAUUAUAUAAUUUUUUAUUAAUUUAGAGGGGUCAUAAGAUGUUUGAUGAGAUGUAGAUAUAGGAUAUAUGUUUUAGAAUUGUUAUUUGGAUUAUUUUGCGGGUUGGGUAGGUCCUGAAUAUAGGGAGAAUUCUACCAAAUUUUCGAUAAAACUUAAAAUGUCCUUUGAUUCUUUAAAGUUUUAUUUUAAAUAAAUAUCGAUCAAUUUGUAAUGUAAUUAUUUAAGUGAUCCAGGUUAGCCGCCAUAAUAGUCUUCGAGUAAAGUAAAUAUUAAUUUUAUUUAUAAUUUCACUAUUAUUAUUUAUUCAAGACAUGC
rnacentral:misc_RNA from 1 species